AUACCUGUUUAUCGUACCAACUCUAACGCAUAGUAAACUAAUUGGGAAUAUGAAAGCAAAAAGGGUAAUAAUAUCGAAGGAACUCGGCAAAUUCACUCCGUAACUUCGGGAGAAGGGGUGUUAAAACGGCUAAAAUUAAUAGGAAGUGGCGACUGUUUAAUAAAAACAUAAGAUUUUGCUAAAUUGUAAAAUGAUGUAUAAAAUCUGACGCCUGCCCAGUGCUGCAAGACGAAAACUUUAGGUAUAUGCUUAAAGUAUAAGUCCCAGUAAACGGCGGCCGUAACCCUGACGGUCCAAAGGUAGCAAAAUUCCUUGACGGGUAAAUUCCGUCCUGCACGAAUGGCGUAACGACUGCUUCGCUGUCUCCGGUAUUAUCCUUGUGAAUUUGAACUAGCCGUGAAGAUGCGGUUUAGUACAGCUAGACGGAAAGACCCUAUGCACCUUUACUGCAUUCUAUUUUUAGAAGUAACUAAAGGCUUUCUAGUGAGGUGGGGG
rnacentral:rRNA from 1 species